GGGAAUGUAUUUAAUUAUAAUUAUUGAAUUGCAAUCAAUAGGUAUUGAUAUAUCAAUCAUUCUUA
rnacentral:tRNA from 1 species